rnacentral:rRNA from 1 species
UACGUAGGUGGCAAGCGUUGUCCGGAUUUAUUGGGUUUAAAGGGUGCGUAGGCGGCCUUGUACGUCAGUGGUGAAGUACUCCAGCUUAACUGGAGGGGUGCCAAUGAUACUGCAGGGCUUGAGUACAGAUGAGGUAGGCGGAAUUGACGGUGUAGCGGUGAAAUGCAUAGAUAUCGUCAAGAACACCGAUAGCGAAGGCAGCUUACUGGGCUGUAACUGACGCUGAGGCACGAAAGUGUGGGGAUCAAACAGG